GACGAACGCUGGCGGCGUGCUUAACACAUGCAAGUCGAACGGAAAGGCCCUGCUUUUGUGGGGUGCUCGAGUGGCGAACGGGUGAGUAACACGUGAGUAACCUGCCCUUGACUUUGGGAUAACUUCAGGAAACUGGGGCUAAUACCGGAUAGGAGCUCCUGCUGCAUGGUGGGGGUUGGAAAGUUUCGGCGGUUGGGGAUGGACUCGCGGCUUAUCAGCUUGUUGGUGGGGUAGUGGCUUACCAAGGCUUUGACGGGUAGCCGGCCUGAGAGGGUGACCGGCCACCUUGGGCCUGAGGUACGGCCCAGACUCCUACGGGAGGCAGCAGUGGGGAAUAUUGCCCAAUGGGCGGAAGCCUGAUGCAGCAACGCCGCGUGCGGGAUGACGGCCUUCGGGUUGUAAACCGCUUUCGCCUGUGACGAAGCGUGAGUGACGGUAAUGGGUAAAGAAGCACCGGCUAACUACGUG
rnacentral:rRNA from 1 species